UCAGGAUGAACGCUGGCGGCGUGCUUAACACAUGCAAGUCGAACGGGAAAUAUUUUAUUGAAGCUUCGGUUGAUUUAAUUUAUUUCUAGUGGCGGACGGGUGAGUAACGCGUGGGUAACCUGCCUUAUACUGGGGGAUAACAGCCAGAAAUGACUGCUAAUACCGCAUAAGCGCACAGAACCGCAUGGUCCGGUGUGAAAAACUCCGGUGGUAUAAGAUGGACCCGCGUUGGAUUAGCUAGUUGGCAGGGCAGCGGCCUACCAAGGCAACGAUCCAUAGCCGGCCUGAGAGGGUGAACGGCCACAUUGGGACUGAGACACGGCCCAGACUCCUACGGGAGGCAGCAGUGGGGAAUAUUGCACAAUGGGGGAAACCCUGAUGCAGCGACGCCGCGUGAAGGAAGAAGUAUCUCGGUAUGUAAACUUCUAUCAGCAGGGAAGAUAAUGACGGUACCUGACUAAGAAGCCCCGGCUAACUACGUGCCAGCAGCCGCGGUAAUACGUAGGGGGCAAGCGUUAUCCGGAUUUACUGGGUGUAAAGGGAGCGUAGACGGCGCAGCAAGUCUGAUGUGAAAGGCAGGGGCUUAACCCCUGGACUGCAUUGGAAACUGCUGUACUUGAGUGCCGGAGGGGUAAGCGGAAUUCCUAGUGUAGCGGUGAAAUGCGUAGAUAUUAGGAGGAACACCAGUGGCGAAGGCGGCUUACUGGACGGUAACUGACGUUGAGGCUCGAAAGCGUGGGGAGCAAACAGGAUUAGAUA
rnacentral:rRNA from 1 species